ACACGUAUGAAAGACAAGCUGAAAGACUUUUCUCAAUGAUGUAAGUGGUGGUGCAUGGUCGUUCGUAGUUCGUGGAUUGAUUUGUCUGGUCUAUUCCGAUAACGAGCGAGACCCCGGCGUUCCUAGUAGGGGCCACUGCCCGGCUUGCUCCGCAAGGGGCUUGCUAGCAGUGGCUCUAUUAGCUUCUUAGACGCAUCAGAGCCGAUAAGGUUCUUGAAAUGGGUUAAUAACAGGUCAGUCAUGCCCUUAGAUGUUCUGGGCCGCACGCGCGUUACAAUGGCAUGUAAAGCGAGUGCCUACAUAAGGCGUCCCGCAGUCUACAGGCUCCGUGGUAAUCCAUAGAACCUGCCUUGACUGGGACAGACUAUUGCAAUUAUUGGUCUCCAACGAGGAAUUUUUAGUAGUCGCAGGUCAUUAACCUGCGACGA
rnacentral:rRNA from 1 species